UCCCCAUGAAGAAACNUUCACACGUCUUACUUCCUGUCCUAGCCCCAGAGCCUGAAAAGGUGAACCCACUGGGGCUGGCUGGGGGAGAAGAGGAAAAAUUGUUCCAGAAGGAACUGUCUGAGGGAU
rnacentral:snoRNA from 1 species